rnacentral:rRNA from 1 species
GACGAACGCUGGCGGCGUGCCUAACACAUGCAAGUCGAACGGGGUGUUCCUUCGGGGACACUUAGUGGCGAACGGGUGAGUAACGCGUGAGAAACCUGCCUUUCAGUGGGGGACAACAGUUGGAAACGACUGCUAAUACCGCAUAAUGUUAUUUAGGGGCAUCCCUGAAUAACCAAAGCUUUAUGUGCUGAAAGAUGGUCUCGCGUCUGAUUAGCUAGAUGGCGGGGUAACGGCCCACCAUGGCGACGAUCAGUAGCCGGUCUGAGAGGAUGAACGGCCACAUUGGGACUGAGAUACGGCCCAGACUCCUACGGGAGGCAGCAGUGGGGAAUAUUGGGCAAUGGGGGAAACCCUGACCCAGCAACGCCGCGUGAAGGAAGAAGGCCUUCGGGUUGUAAACGUUCUUUACCUAGGGACGAAAUUUUAGUACGGUACCUGGAGAAAAAGACAACGGCUAACUACGUGCCAGCAGCCGCGGU